rnacentral:rRNA from 1 species
AGAGUUUGAUCCUGGCUCAGGACGAACGCUGACGGUGUGCUUUAGACAUGCAAGUCGAACGAGAAAGCCCUUCGGGGUGAGUAAAGUGGCGAACGGGUGAGUAACACGUGGGCAAUCUGCCCCUCGCAGGGGGAUAACCGGGGGAAACCCCGGCUAAUACCCCGUACGCUUACGGAGCCGCAUGGUUCCGUAAGGAGAGGUAGCUUCGGCCAUCCGGCGAGGGAUGAGCCCGCGGUACAUUAGCUAGUUGGUGGGGUAACGGCCCACCAAGGCGACGAUGUAUAGCUGGUCUGAGAGGAUGAUCAGCCACACUGGGACUGAGACACGGCCCAGACUCCUACGGGAGGCAGCAGUCGGGAAUCUUGCGCAAUGGGCGAAAGCCUGACGCAGCAACACCGUGUGAGCGAUGAAGGCCUUCGGGUCGUAAAGCUCUGUUGUUGGGGACGAAGGGCGAGGGGUUAAUAGCCCCGAGCUUGACGGUACCCUUCGAGGAAGCCCCGGCUAACUACGUGCCAGCAGCCGCGGUAAUACGUAGGGGGCGAGCGUUGUCCGGAAUUAUUGGGCGUAAAGAGCGUGUAGGCGGUUCGGUAAGUCUGCUGUGAAAACCCAGGGCUCAACCCUGGGCGUGCAGUGAAUACUGCCGGGCUAGAGGGUGGUAGAGGCGAGUGGAAUUCCCAGUGUAGCGGUGAAAUGCGCAGAUAUUGGGAGGAACACCAGUAGCGAAGGCGGCUCGCUGGGCCAUACCUGACGCUGAGACGCGAAAGCUAGGGGAGCGAACAGGAUUAGAUACCCUGGUAGUCCUAGCCGUAAACGAUGAACACUAGGUGUGGGCGGAGUCGAAUCUGUCUGUGCCGAAGCCAACGCGAUAGUGUUCCGCCUGGGGAGUACGGCCGCAAGGCUAAACUCAAGGAUUGACGGGGCC